AUCUGUGAAACAAAAUCUGUGGUGAGACGCAGAGGAUGAUGAUAAUGCAGCAUGUUCAGAUAAUAUAUUGAGGCAUUAAUUCUGUACUCCAUAACAGCACUGAAGGUCACGGGAGUGAUGGAGAGAUCCCACUCCUCCUCUCCUUGUU